CCUACGGGAGGCAGCAGUGGGGAAUAUUGCACAAUGGGGGAAACCCUGAUGCAGCAACGCCGCGUGAGUGAAGAAGUAUUUCGGAUCGUAAAACCCUGUUGUUAGAGAAGAAAGUGCGUGAGAGUAACUGUUCACGUUUCGACGGUAUCUAACCAGAAAGCCACGGCUAACUACGUGCCAGCAGCCGCGGUAAUACGUAGGUGGCAAGCGUUAUCCGGAUUUACUGGGUGUAAAGGGCGUGUAGGCGGGACUGCAAGUCAGAUGUGAAAACCACGGGCUCAACCUGUGGCCUGCAUUUGAAACUGUAGUUCUUGAGUACUGGAGAGGCAGACGGAAUUCCUAGUGUAGCGGUGAAAUGCGUAGAUAUUAGGAGGAACACCAGUGGCGAAGGCGGUCUGCUGGACAGCAACUGACGCUGAGGCGCGAAAGCGUGGGGAUCGAACAGGAUUAGAUACCCCAGUAGUC
rnacentral:rRNA from 1 species